CUACGUGCCAGCAGCCGCGGUAAUACGUAGGUGGCGAGCGUUAUCCGGAAUUAUUGGGCGUAAAGGGUGCGUAGGCGGCCUGUUAAGUAAGUGGUUAAAUUGUUGGGCUCAACCCAAUCCAGCCACUUAAACUGGCAGGCUAGAGUAUUGGGGAGGCAAGUGGAAUUCCAUGUGUAGCGGUAAAAUGCGUAGAUAUAUGGAGGAACACCAGUGGCGAAGGCGGCUUGCUAGCCAAAGACUGACGCUCAUGCACGAAAGCGUGGGGAGCAAAUAGGAUUAGAUACCCUAGUAGUCCACGCCGUAAACGAUGAAUACUAAGUAUUGGGGAAACUCAGUGCUGCAGCUAACGCAAUAAGUAUUCCGCCUGUGGAGUAUGCACGCAAGUGUGAAACAUAAAGGAAUUGACGGGGGCCCGCACAAGCGGUGGAGUAUGUGGUUUAAUUCGACGCAACGCGAAGAACCUUACCAGGCCUUGACAUCCCUUGCAAAGCUGUAGAGAUA
rnacentral:rRNA from 1 species